rnacentral:rRNA from 1 species
CCUACGGGAGGCAGCAGUGGGGAAUAUUGGGCAAUGGGCGCAAGCCUGACCCAGCAACGCCGCGUGAAGGAAGAAGGCUUUCGGGUUGUAAACUUCUUUUGUCAGGGAAGAGUAGAAGACGGUACCUGACGAAUAAGCAACGGCUAACUACGUGCCAGCAGCCGCGGUAAUACGUAGGUGGCAAGCGUUGUCCGGAUUUACUGGGUGUAAAGGGCGUGUAGCCGGGUUGACAAGUCAGAUGUGAAAUCCGGCGGCUUAACCGCAGAACGGCAUUUGAAACGGUGGAACUAGAGUACUGGAGGGGCAACCGGAAUUCCUAGUGUAGCAGUGAAAUGCGUAGAUAUGAGGAGGAACACCAGUGGCGAAGGCGGGCUGCUGGACAGCAACUGACGGUGAGGCGCGAAGGCGAGGGGAGCGAACGGGAUUAGAUACCCGUGUAGUC